GAUGAACGCUGGCGGCGUGCCUAAUACAUGCAAGUCGAGCGAACGGACGAGAAGCUUGCUUUUCUGAUGUUAGCGGCGGACGGGUGAGUAACACGUGGAUAACCUACCUAUAAGACUGGGAUAACUUCGGGAAACCGGAGCUAAUACCGGAUAAUAUUUUGAACCGCAUGGUUCAAAAGUGAAAGACGGUCUUGCUGUCACUUAUAGAUGGAUCCGCGCUGCAUUAGCUAGUUGGUAAGGUAACGGCUUACCAAGGCAACGAUGCAUAGCCGACCUGAGAGUGUGAUCGGCCACGCCGGAACUGAGAAACGGAACAAGCUCCUUCAGAAGGAAGCAGUAGAUAAGCAAGCGCUAUGCGCGAAAGAAUGACGGAGCAAAGACGCGUGAGUGAUGAUGGACUUCGCAUCUUAAAACUCGAUUAUUAGAGAAGAACAUUAUGGAAAAUAAGUGAUCACAGCUUAACAAUACCUAAUCAGAAAGGCACGGGUAGCUACGAU
rnacentral:rRNA from 1 species